ACGGGAGGCAGCAGUGAGGAAUAUUGGUCAAUGGAGGCAACUCUGAACCAGCCAUCUCGCGUGAAGGAAUACGGCCCUACGGGUCUUAAACUUCUUUUAUAGGGGGAUAAAGUGAGAUACGCGUAUCUUUUUGUAGGUACCCUAUGAAUAAGCAUCGGCUAACUCCGUGCCAGCAGCCGCGGUAAUACGGAGGAUGCGAGCGUUAUCCGGAUUUAUUGGGUUUAAAGGGUGCGCAGGCGGCACGUUAAGUCAGCGGUGAAAUGCAGGGGCUCAACCCCGGCACUGCCGUUGAAACUGGCGAGCUCGAGUACGGAUGAGGUCGGCGGAAUGUGAUGUGUAGCGGUGAAAUGCUUAGAUAUGUCACAGAACACCGAUUGCGAAGGCAGGAGACCAUACCAUAUCUGACGCUCAGGCACGAAAGCGUGGGGAUCGAACAGGAUUAGAUACCCUGGUA
rnacentral:rRNA from 1 species